CCAUGUUUGGUUCAAUGUAAAGGUGUCUAGCCAUUACAACUCUAUUCCGUGUGCCUACCAUAAACAACUGUUUGGUUCAAGGGAAUGCCUUAUUACGAGCUUAUUCCAUUACGGGCCUAUGCAAUGAAAUUGCCUAAUUUCUAUUAUGUUUCCUCACCACUGAUUACUGAAUCGGUGCUUAAGGAGACUAUCACCACAAAAACGCUCCCUACUUUGCCCUCUCCCACUGUCUCACCUUAAAAGACAGUCACCUUCAUCGCAGCGUUAGGUAAAACAUUUUCUUCCUCCGUUCCUUCCAUUUUCCUCUCUUCCAAUUUUUUGCACUCUUUUUCUGUAUUCUUUUUCUUUUCUCAAUAGAGUUUUUCUUUUCCUCUCUUCUUUUUCUUUUGCUUGAUCUAUAAAAUUCCAUCGACUGUUGGAAAGAGCAAGAGAGGAAAAUUAAACCAAAGGUUCUAAUUCUUAAUUUUAUUUGAAAAAUCAUUUAAAUCUCGGUUUUGUUUUCUUAUCUACUAAUUAUUUUGAUCUAUUUUUGUUUUAGAUAAAAUGAUUAUUAGCAAUAAAGGACGACAAUGAAGAACUGUGAAAGAGUCGCUAGCUUAGCUUUAGCAGGUUUACUUUUCUUGUUCUUUUUGAUUGAUUAUUAGUUCAUUUUAGUUUAUUAUUUAAAUUUGUUUUUGUUUUGAACCUUUUUUUGGACAAUUUAUAUUCAAUUUCGUUAUUCAGAUGUUGAAUUUAGUUGAAUAGAAGAUUUGGUUAGUUACUUAGCUAUAGUUUCUGGGUUUUAUUGGCAAAAAAAAGAAGAGACUAAAGGGAUAGAAGAGAUUUGGGUUGAAAUUUGAUUUUCUUUUAACCCUAUAUCUAGAAUGUGUAAUUUUAGGUAGAAAUGUGAUAGCUUUGUUGUUUGAUGGUAUGAAUUAUCAAUGCUUUCUUUAUAAAAUGAUGGAUUAUAUUGUAAAAUUUAGAGUAAUUACAUUUAAUCCUAAAUAAUUAUUGAUUUCAAGGAAAAAAAACUUAAAAGGAAUGUAAAUUUAGUCUUUGGUUAGUUGUUGCUUUUUUUUUUAGUCCUUCCAAUGACCAGCACUCCAUUGAAAAACAUGGCUUUACUUUAAAAUAUGAAAAAUAUCCCGAGAUAGAAAGAACUUGAUAAUAUUUCUCAUAAUAGUGUCAUUUACAAUGUUUAUAUUAGCGUAGAAGGAAAAAUGACAAGUUUUUGCUCAUUUUAUAGCUCUUUGGAGGAAUUUUGAGCGUGUGCAUUGCUUGAGUUUACAUAAGAAAGGCCAAAGAGAUGAUUUGAUUCAUUUGCAUAUACUAGUGUCUUCAUAUGAGAAACAAAAUAUUGUUUAUCUCUCUGUUCAAGAGAAAACCAAGUUCUAUAAAUUAGCAUUAGAAUGUUUAGGUAUCGUUUGCAGUUGUGUCAUUAAGUUCAUAACUAACCUCUGGAAUUAGUGCCUCCUGAAAUCUUUGACGUGCAAAUCUUAUAUGAAUUCAUAGAAAACCAAAAUACUCAUUUUUGCAUAGCUCAUAGUGAAACUCAAUAGUAAUUUUAGAGUUUCACAUCUCCACGAUCACUUCAGAAGUUUUAAGGGUUGCUAUUUUUUCGAAUGUGUUAAUUGCUCCUUUCAUUGGUAAGACUUUCUAAUUUCCUAAAUAAUAUCUUGGGUAUAUUGCUAGUUCUUUUUACUUUUUCCUUUUGAGUUCCCUGGUCCACUAAUGAUUUUUCCUUUGAGUUUCCAUUAUGGAAGGUUUCAUGUUGAAUUAUUUUGUCUUUAUAUUUCACUUUCCUUGACAUAAUAUAUAUUUACAUUAGGCAAAUUCAGCGCUUGUUUCUCUGUCAUUGAUUUUGUUUUUAUUUUUAGUUCUAUUCUAAAACUUGUAUAAAUCAAUAUGACAUUUGUCCUAAAUUUCUUCUUGAUUUACUAUCUAAUAUUUUAAUUUAGAUAAUUAUUAUGCUCUAUAUUUCUAUAUAGCUUAGAUCAUUAGCUCUUCCAUUCACGGCAAUGGAAUAGACUUUAUUUUCUGCAUUUUUUUGCAUAAGUUUUCCUUAUAUUUUUGUAUAGAAAAAAUAUAAUUUUUAGUCCAUAGGCAUUUUGGUUUAUUUCUGAUCACAUAUUACUUGUAUUCUCUUUCUAUAUUCUACAUUUUUCAUAACAUAUAAUCACAUUUCCUUUCCCUUUUUGCUUGCACUAAUAAGGAUUCUUCGCUUGUCUUCCAGACCAAAAUGGCCUUCUUCUUUAUUUGUUUCAUUUGAUGGAUUGAUUACAGCAAUGGCCUACCACUUGCCUCGUGUUGUAUGUAUCAUAUUUAAAUUAUUGGAUCCAAUUGAUAUUUAUCUUGUUGCCUUAAAGAUUGUUGUCUUCACUGAUAUCAUUAAUUUAUCAGGUCAUGAGGGACAAGUCAGGUAACAUAUGUAUAGUUUGGUAAGACUUGAGAAGGCCUAAAUGUGCUAGAAAAAUUGUCAAAAAAAGUAGCUAGAAUAUUUGGAGUCCUAAGAAUUUAGAUAUAAAGAAAGCUUGUUCUAUUCAGGGAUCAGUUAGAGAGGAACUCACCUUUUCCACUACUUUUGCUCCCUUCAAAAGUUGUCAUGCCUCUACUAUUGACAUCACAUAUUUCUGUUAUCAGAUGAAGAUUGAUGUUCAAUUCAGUGAGUGCAUUCUAUUGGCGUCAAUGGUAUAAUAUGAGUAUGUAUUUGUUGAGUUGGACAUUGCCAAUCAAGUAUUGCAACUCCAAGGGUUUUUGCUGUUAAUCUGGGGAUAUAUGUGGUGUGAGAGGGCAAAAAGGGGUUUUUGCUGUUAAUAUAGGACAUUGUUUUGAAUGUUAUUUUGCUUCUCCUUUUGCUAAAGGGUUAAAGUUUAAACAUAAUUUACUGAUUAGUUGAGUUAAGUUGGUUUAUGUGUCUUGCUUUUGGCUUGUGGAUAUUAGUCCAUUAGACUUAAAUAAUCAUUGAGAAGCUUAAUUUUAGUAUUAGAAUUUUCUUUUCCUUAUUGUAUCCAAUACAUAUUAUCUUACAUCUCCGUCCAACAUAUUUAUAUAACUAGCUGCAAAUUGCUCAUGGUUGUAAUUUUUAAUCUUUUAUGCAUCUUUUCAAUGUUGAAUUGAUUGUCCUCUGUUAAAAGUUAUGUGAAUCCCUUUUGCUCUUAGAACUUUUGACUGAGAAUGUUACAUACAUUUCAAACAGACUUCUUUUGCAAAACCUCAAGACUCUGCUGCUAGAGCCAACAGUAGAUCACAAGCAUCUAAUGUUAGAAUUUUAAAU
rnacentral:lncRNA from 1 species